rnacentral:lncRNA from 1 species
UCCGAAUGGGAAGAAGUUUCUUCAAGAUGUGGUCUAUGAGUGGAAGCCCUCCUAUUGUGAGAAAUGCCAAACAAUAGGACACAAUUGUGCAUCGCAUCAACAGCAAAUCCCAAAACAUCCUACACAAGUGUGGAAGCCAAAGGCAGUCAAGGAAUGGAGAACCAAGGGCCAUGCUGUGCCAAUACAGAGGCAGCCUCCAAC